CUGGAGGCGAAACCAUAUGGCAAAGACUCGUGAAGAUGGAGGAAGGCAACAGCUGCUCAGAGCUGCACAGACACGGAGCAAAGGAACACGGUCAAAAACAGCGUACUUGACUGGCUUGUUGUCGGCAUCGGGGUCCCUGGCCGACACCACGCCGACGAAGCUGCCGGCCGCCGUGUCCUCGUGCACCUCGAUGACGUAAGGGUUCCGGGUGAAGACGGGGGACUCGUCCACAUCCUCCACGGUUAUCUUGACCGUGGCGUAGUCUUUGAACUGCAGGCCGUGGAUGAACCUGGCGUCCAAAGGACGAUAUUGGACACAGGCAAAAGUGGAGAACUGGUGAAUGCGAUUGCUGUCAAGCCACAGAAGUUCGGUGCCAGAAAGCAUCAAAGGCCGGAGAAGAAAGCCACACGACGCCAGCCGCUGACACAUCAACGGACGGCCCCGCUCUUAGUUAGCAUUUGCUUUGCUGCUUCAUCAUAUAACACAACAAGAGAUAUGAAUGGUCGCGUGCUUCUCCAUCAACGCUGCCCACAGCACAUCACAAGUGAGAUCCGCCUGCACCGCCUCUCUGCACACGGACAGAUAUCAACACACACACACACACACACACACACACAGCCUGGCAUGGACACUUUAACAGGUGCACACACACUUUGGGAUGCACAUGUAUGUUGCAUGUGACACAUACAUGGAUUUGGACGUGUGCUCUGUGGGGUGCCUGCUGGUUCCCAGUGUGGAGUCAGGGAAGCUGCCUCUUGGAUGUAACACUUCUCAUCUUGAGACAAAGUUAAUUCUCUUCAGUCUUUAUGAAAUCACAGCAUAGCCCCGAGUCAUGACGCCCACCUCAAAGUUACGCAUGCAGCGUUACCAACUGUGUGACAGGUGCACGGCGCCGAGCAACACACACACAUUGUAAAGGAAAGGAACAGAUCCUGUAAAACACUGAGUCAUCACCCAUCAUUAAUCAGCCUUAAGUUCAAAUGUCAGGAGGAUGAAUCAGGAAAUCUCCUCUCCUCUGACAACAUGCAGUUCAUCUCAUUUCAAACACAAAUUAAAACACAAAACAAAUUCCAAUCAGAGAAUUGAGGAGAUAAAUCCUGCAGCUUCCCACUCCAGUGGCUGCGAUGCCGUUAUCAAGCGCUUUGAAGUUGCAACACUUCUUUUCAUGUGACGCUGCCGCUGCAGCAGUCGUCUGGCUCGGUCACAGAGCAAAGAGCAGAGCAGCCCCUCUGGAGUCUGGAGGCAGACGAAAUAUAAAUAUGUCCCUCAACGUUAGUCGGAGGAAGCCCUUACCUUUUUGUGAUGUUCACAGCUUAGCAUCCAUCUGUGUCACUGAGUGCUCGGUACUGUGUUCCUACUCCUGAGCAGUGCUUAGCGCUGGAGAAUCUGACUCCUCACGGCAGAGCUUACAUUCCAAGACUGACAACAGCACAGCUGGUGCGAAU